rnacentral:rRNA from 1 species
AGUGAACGCUGGCGGUAGGCCUAACACAUGCAAGUCGAACGGCAGCACAGUAAGAGCUUGCUCUUACGGGUGGCGAGUGGCGGACGGGUGAGGAAUACAUCGGAAUCUACUUUUUCGUGGGGGAUAACGUAGGGAAACUUAUGCUAAUACCGCAUACGACCUACGGGUGAAAGCAGGGGAUCUUCGGACCUUGCGCGAUUGAAGGAGCCGAUGUCGGAUUAGCUAGUUGGCGGGGUAAAGGCCCACCAAGGCGACGAUCCGUAGCUGGUCUGAGAGGAUGAUCAGCCACACUGGAACUGAGACACGGUCCAGACUCCUACGGGAGGCAGCAGUGGGGAAUAUUGGACAAUGGGCGCAAGCCUGAUCCAGCCAUGCCGCGUGGGUGAAGAAGGCCUUCGGGUUGUAAAGCUCUUUUGUUGGGAAAGAAAAGCAGCAGGUUAAUACCCCGCUGUUCUGACGGUACCCAAAGAAUAAGCACCGGCUAACUUCGUG